GGGUGCAAGCGUUACUCGGAAUCACUGGGCGUAAAGGACGCGUAGGCGGACUAUCAAGUCUCUUGUGAAAUCUAAUGGCUUAACCAUUAAACUGCUUGGGAAACUGAUAGUCUAGAGUGAGGGAGAGGCAGAUGGAAUUCUUGGUGUAGGGGUAAAAUCCGUAGAUAUCAAGAAGAAUACCCAUUGCGAAGGCGAUCUGCUAGAACUUUUCUGACGCUAAGGUGUGAAAGCGUGGGGAGCA
rnacentral:rRNA from 1 species